rnacentral:misc_RNA from 1 species
AGUGGGUGAAGGAAGUUGACUGCACAUUUCUGCUCCUACAUUUCUCUUCUUCCCUAGAAAUGGAGACAGUUGAUUCAACUCGAGCAUUUGUGAAGAACGUCAAACGACUCAUUGUCAAGGUUGGGACUGCAGUUGUGACUCGAGCUGAUGGAAGAUUAGCACUUGGAAGAAUGGGAUCACUGUGUGAGCAGAUUCGGGAACUUACCUCUCAAGGCUUUGAAGUUAUUUUGGUCACCUCAGGUGCUGUUGGUGUUGGCCGUCAGCGCCUUCGAUAUAGGAAGCUUAUUAAUAGCAGCUUUGCGGACCUUCAAAAGCCUCAAGGUGAUCUUGAUGGCAAGGCUUGUGCCGCUGUAGGUCAGAAUGGCCUCAUGGCUCUGUAUGAUACGUUGUUCAGUCAGUUGGAUGUAACCUCAGCUCAGCUUAUGGUGACUGAUAAUGACUUUAGAGAUCCAGAUUUUAGGAGACAACUCAAUGAAACUGUAAACUCAUUGCUCUGUCUAAAAGUUGUACCUAUAUUUAAUGAGAACGAUGCUAUCAGCACGCGGAAAGCUCCUUAUGAGGAUUCUUCUGGAAUCUUUUGGGAUAAUGACAGUUUGGCAGCUCUAUUGGCUUUGGAGCUAAAAGCUGAUCUGCUUGUUUUGUUGAGUGAUGUUGAAGGCCUUUACACUGGCCCUCCAACCGAUCCACAAUCAGAGCUAAUUCAUACAUAUGUUAAGGAGAAGCAUGAGGGAUUGAUUACUUUUGGAGACAAGUCUAGAGUUGGAAGAGGUGGUAUGACUGCCAAGGUAAAAGCUGCAGUUUAUGCGGCUUAUGCUGGCAUUCCCGUUGUGAUAACUAGUGGCUUUGCCAACAAUAAUAUCAUUAAAGCACUAGAUGGACAACGUGUUGGCACUCUCUUUCAUCGUGAAGCCAUUAAAUGGGCAUCAAUAGGAGAUUUUGAUGCUCGAGAGAUGGCAGUUUCUGCGAGGGAAUGUGCCAGGCGGCUUCAGACCCUCUCUUCUCAAGAAAGGAGUAAAAUUUUGCUAGAUAUAGCUGAUGCACUGGAAGCAAAAGAAGAAGAAAUCCUGGCUGAAAAUGAAGCUGAUGUGGCUGCGGCUCAACAAGCUGGAUAUGAGAAUGCUUUGAUAUCUCGGUUAGCUAUGAAACCAGGAAAAAUUUCAAGUCUUGCAAACUCAGUCCGUGUGCUUGCUAACAUGGAUGAGCCAGUUGGCCGCAUUUUAAAGAGGACGGAGCUUGCUGAUGGAAUCAUAUUGGAGAAAACAUCAUCUCCAUUGGGUGUUCUCCUGAUUAUAUUUGAGUCACGACCUGAUGCACUGGUACAGAUAGCUUCUCUAGCAGUCCGAAGUGGGAAUGGCCUUUUGUUGAAAGGAGGGAAGGAGGCUAAAAGAUCGAAUGCAAUUUUACACAAGGUGAUUACCUCAUCCAUUCCUCCAAUUGUUGGUGAAAGACUUAUUGGGUUAGUGACUUCUAGAGAAGAGAUCCCUGAAUUGCUUAAGCUUGAUGAUGUGAUUG